CCUACGUGCGGCUGCAGUGGGGAAUUUUGGACAAUGGGGGCAACCCUGAUCCAGCCAUGCCGCGUGCGGGAAGAAGGCCUUCGGGUUGUAAACCGCUUUCGGCCGGAACGAAAUCGCCGGGGAGAACAUCCCCGGUGGAUGACGGUACCGGAAGAAGAAGCACCGGCUAACUACGUGCCAGCAGCCGCGGUAAUACGUAGGGUACGAGCGUUAAUAGGGAGUACGCAGCGGAUAGCGUGCGCAGGCGGUUAAAUCCCCGGGCUUAACCUGGGAACUGCGUUUGUGACUGGCGGGCUGGAGUGCGGAAGAGGGAGGUGGAAUUCCACGUGUAGCAGUGAAAUGCGUAGAGAUGUGGAGGAACACCGAUGGCGAAGGCAGCCUCCUGGUCUAGCACUGACGCUCAUGCACGAAAGCGUGGGGAGCAAACAGGAUUAGAUACCCCUGUAGUC
rnacentral:rRNA from 1 species